rnacentral:rRNA from 1 species
AUUGAACGCUGGCGGCAGGCCUAACACAUGCAAGUCGAACGAGUGGCGGACGGGUGAGUAAUGUCUGGGAAACUGCCCGAUGGAGGGGGCUAACUACUGGAAACGGUAGCUAAUACCGCAUACCAUCGGAUGUGCCCAGAUGGGAGUAGCUAGUAGGUGGGGUAAGGGCUCACCUAGGCGACGAUCCCUAGCUGGGGUGAGAGGAUGACCAGCCACACGGGAACGGAGAGACGGUCCAGACGCCUACGGGAGGCAGCAGUGGGGAAGAUUGCACAAUGGGCGCAAGCCGGAUGCAGCCAUGCCGCGUGUAUGAAGAAGGCCUUCGGGUUGUAAAGUACUUUCAGCGAGGAGGCGUUACUCGCAGAAGAAGCACCGGCUAACUCCGUGCCAGCAGCCGCGGUAAUUC